CACCUGGGCUCCGAGGACAGACCCAGGUUGUGGGGAUACCGGCUGCCUGCAGGGGGCGAGAUGUUCCUUUGGUGCUGCUGGGCUGUGACUAAAGAGCAGAAACAAAGAUAGAAGCUGAGAUCAACGGAAAGGAAUGAGACUGAACAAACAUAUAUAUUAAUCCUGACGGGACACAUACUAAAAUAACAUUCACAAACACGGCAGUAAGAAAGGAUGAACUAUGAAAAGAAUGUGCAGAUAAAUGAAUGAAACUUCGGAGGACAAAAAUAUGAUUUCAGGAGGACAGGCUGUGCCUUGGCCAUCCGCCCAUCUUAUAUUGGCCUUAGACACAAAUCAUGGAGUAGAGAGCAACUGUCUGGAGGGGGGUCUUCAGUCACCCCACCCAGGGGGAGACAUGUCCCACUGUCCCAUUGCAGUGGCCUCAGGAAUAGGAGAUCAAGACCCACCUGUUGUGAUGAAUAAAUCCAGGCUCUCAGCAACACAGGGAGAAGCAGCUUACAACACCACGGCAACCAGGUAACUGCACAGACCAAGGUAAGAAACAUCGCAGGUUGAGGCACCCCCACACUGCCCCAG